rnacentral:rRNA from 1 species
AACGAACGCUGGGGGCAUGCCUAACACAUGCAAGUCGAACGAGACCUUCGGGUCUAGUGGCGCACGGGUGCGUAACGCGUGGGAACCUGCCCUUAGGUUCGGAAUAACUCCCCGAAAGGGGUGCUAAUACCGGAUAAUGUCUUCGGACCAAAGAUUUAUCGCCUUUGGAUGGGCCCGCGUUGGAUUUGCUAGUUGGUAGGGUAAAAGCCUACCAAGGCGACGAUCCAUAGCUGGUCUGAGAGGAUGAUCAGCCACACUGGGACUGAGACACGACCCAGACUCCUACGGGAGGCAGCAGUGGGGAAUAUUGGACAAUGGGCGAAAGCCUGAUCCAGCAAUGCCGCGUGAGUGAUGAAGGCCUUAGGGUUGUAAAGCUCUUUUACCCGGGAUGAUAAUGACAGUACCGGGAGAAUAAGCUCCGGCUAACUCCGUG